rnacentral:rRNA from 1 species
UAAGGAAUAUUGGUCAAUGGACGCAAGUCUGAACCAGCCAUGCCGCGUGAAGGAUGAAGGUCCUCUGGAUUGUAAACUUCUUUUAUCUGGGACGAAAACGGGAUUUUUAUCUCAAUUGACGGUACCAGAGGAAUAAGCACCGGCUAACUCCGUGCCAGCAGCCGCGGUAAUACGGAGGGUGCGAGCGUUAUCCGGAUUUACUGGGUUUAAAGGGUGCGUAGGUGGGCUUAUAAGUCAGUGGUGAAAUCUCCGAGCUUAACUUGGAAACUGCCGUUGAUACUAUAGGUCUUGAAUUAUCUGGAUGUAAGCGGAAUAUGUCAUGUAGCGGUGAAAUGCUUAGAUAUGACAUAGAACACCAAUUGCGAAGGCAGCUUACUACAUAUAAAUUGACGCUGAGGCACGAA